UAGUAACCGAACGGAUCGCAUUAUAAUUAUCAUUAUUUGAUGAUUGGCGAUAGAUCAUUCAAGUUUCUGACCUAUCAGCUUUCGACGGUAGUGUAUUGGACUACCGUGGCAGUGACGGGUAACGGGGAAUUAGGGUUCGAUUCCGGAGAGGGAGCCUGAGAAACGGCUACCACAUCUAAGGAAGGCAGCAGGCGCGCAAAUUACCCAAUCCUGACUCAGGGAGGUAGUGACAAGAAAUAACAACACUGGAAAUUUGAUUUCUAGUGAUUGGAAUGAUGGGAAUCCAAACCCCUUUCAGAGUAACAAUUGGAGGGCAAGUCUGGUGCCAGCAGCCGCGGUAAUUCCAGCUCCAAUAGCGUAUAUUAAAGUUGUUGCAGUUAAAAAGCUCGUAGUUGGAUGUCUGUUGGAAGCAAUCAUCAGUCCGCCCUAUUUGAUUAGGGUGUGAAUAUGAUGAAUUCCGGCAUAAUUGUCUCCCUAUUGUUAAUAUUCUGAUUGUUAGAUUCAUUUCUAACAAUAAUACGAUUAUUAAUAAUAAGGGGGAAAUGUUACUUUGAGAAAAUUAGAGUGUUUGAAGCAGGCUUUUGUUGCCUUGAAUACUGCAGCAUGGAAUAACAAUAUAGGAUUUCGGUUCUAUUUUGUUGGUUCUUUUUUUAGGACUGAAAUAAUGAUUAAUAGGGACAGUUGGGGGCAUUCGUAUUUAACUGUCAGAGGUGAAAUUCUUAGAUUUGUUAAAGACGAACUACUGCGAAAGCAUUUGCCAAAGAUGUUUUCAUUAAUCAAGAACGAAAGUUAGGGGCUCGAAGACGAUCAGAUACCGUCGUAGUCUUAACCAUAAACUAUGCCGACUAGAGAUAGGAAAUUGUCAUUUUACUUGACUUCUCCUGCACCUU
rnacentral:rRNA from 1 species